UCGUACCGUGAGUAAUAAU
rnacentral:ncRNA from 2 species